GACGAACGCUGGCGGCGUGCUUAACACAUGCAAGUCGAACGGAAAGGCCCUGCUUUUGUGGGGUGCUCGAGUGGCGAACGGGUGAGUAACACGUGAGUAACCUGCCCUUGACUUUGGGAUAACUUCAGGAAACUGGGGCUAAUACCGGAUAGGAGCUCCUGCUGCAUGGUGGGGGUUGGAAAGUUUCGGCGGUUGGGGAUGGACUCGCGGCUUAUCAGCUUGUUGGUGGGGUAGUGGCUUACCAAGGCUUUGACGGGUAGCCGGCCUGAGAGGGGGACCGGCCACAUUGGGACUGGGCUACGGCCCGGACUCCUACGGGAGGCAGCAGUGGGGAAUAUUGCACAAUGGGCGGAAGCCGGAUGCAGCAACGCCGCGUGCGGGAUGACGGCCUUCGGGUUGUAAACCGCUUUCGCCUGUGACGAAGCGGGAGUGACGGUAAUGGGUAAAGAAGCACCGGCUAACUACGUG
rnacentral:rRNA from 1 species